GGCUGUUGUGAGAAGAGUGGCUGGGUAAUCUGCUGUAGAUGGGGACCAUCCCUUUUGAGGGUCCUUUUGUUGAGUCAUAGAGAUGGCAGCAGCAGAGCCUCUCAGGCCAAGAGAGUGCAGUGGUGGAGCACGUGUAUACAAACUCAUGGGCCCAAGAAAGGGAAGCCAAGUGGUCAAAGAUCGAGGACCCAGCCUCCAGCACAGAACUGGACACUGAAAAGGAAAUGGAGACCCAGAGCGGUGGAGUAAUGUGCCCAAGGCCAUAUAGAUAAUUUCAUGAACACAAAAUAGAACAUUUCCAAAUAGACAUUGAAAUGGAAAAGGAAGAUUUCAUGUGAAACUUUGGUUUUCUAAUAUAUG